CCACUGCGGUGCUGGGCAGAAAAGGCUGGAAAAGAAAGACUGGCAGUGGCUUCCCAAUUUACUUUACAGACAUUUGCCACCUGCAGAGGAGGCACUAAUCCCCACGCAGCUGAGCAAGGGCUGCGGGGAGUGCAGCAGGGUGCAGCGAGCUGGGGCGGAGCUGUGACUCAGGGGAGGGUGUGCGCAGUCCCCCAACACCCGCACCCAAGCCCAGCCCAAAAGAACCCCAGAGCCCAGAGCGAAGCACCACGAGCCAGCGCCGGUCCGGGGCCCCAUCUGAGAACAGCCCCUGCCUCCUGCUCGCUCCGGCAGCGCCCCUCGGCUGGCGCCGGCCCCUUUCCCUGGCUCGCCUGUGGUUCCAUGCACCCUUCUGUCCUCUCCCAUGCGAGACAGCCCCAGGUGUGGGCAGUGAGGAUGACCAAGGAGCGGGACAGCCCCAGGUGUGGGCAGUGAGGAUGACGAGGGGUGGACCCUGCUGAGUGGUUAUCUGGGCCACUUUUUGUAGGGAGCUUUUGCCGGGGAUCAGUCUUUCAAGGAGUAAUGGUGGGGGUGUCUCGCCGGGGCAAGCACCUGAGGUCCCUGGAUCAUCGCUCAAGGAAGAGGCCGAGGGAUGAGCCGUGGGCCAGGAAGCAGCGCAGGAGAGGGGAGCAGCGCACGUGAACAGGUGAAAGCGUGGAUUCCAGGACAGAAGUAGAUGUUGCUUGGGACUUUGGGGGUUCUAGACAGAGAAGACCUCGGAAGCACCUGGAUGAAGCCCCUCAGAAACCUGAUCAGGGUAGAUGUGUAUGGUUGUAAGUGCUGGGGAAUGUCCUGAGCGUGGAACAGGAAUGCAGGGAACAAAAUGAACCCUCAGGGAAUGCUGAGUCCUCCCAUCAGCUGCAGCGGAGGCACCUCUGUGUGCACUGUGGGAGCUGAUGGCCAGGGCCCCCGGUGGGCUGGGAUCACUGCAGGGUGUUGUCAGCAAGGAAUGCCUGGCUUCUAAAACUCACCAGCUGAGUCUUAGAGGCUUCUUUUUUUUCGGGCAGCCAAAUUGGCCCCAGGCAGGGACUCUGCGCCUGCUCUCCUGGUGUGCCCAGGGAUCUCUGGGCCUUCACGCCGGCACCGAGAUGUUCUCGGGAAGGCCCUCAGAUCCCCGGAGCAGUCUGGGACACGGGCAAGAUCCCCCUGCAUUUCGGGGGCAGAUUGGGCCCCCUGGAGGGACAGUGCUGUUGCUGCCCCCCGGGCUGGGACACUCGGGGAACUCCAGCGCGCACCGAAAUUGUUCUUCGGGGAGCUCCUCUGAGUGCCCCAAGCUGGGGAGCUGAAAGCAAGGUCCCUGGAAUGGAUUCAGGCAUUCCUGAGAGUAUCAGAGGUGUAGCUGUCUGUCCUGGCCAUGGAGCUCCGGAAUGGACUGUAACUGGGUUCUAAAAGUGGUGCUCCAACAGCAAAAGGAGUGUGGGAUUGGAUUUAAGGAAUGAGUGGUGAUGGUACCGUUAGCUGUUUUCUCUUGACUGGAAUUGUGAGAGCUGCAGGAGUGCAAGGUGUGGGUUCCAGUCCCCACCGUUUGGUUUGCACGUGUCCUGGUCAGACACAGGUCCAGCUUCCUCAGCCCUUAACAGACCAGGGGGAGAAUUAGGGGAUGGCACUGGGAAGGUGAUUGGUGUGACAGGGGUUAAACUGGGAAAACACUGGGUAAUUCCUCAGUUUGUUUAUUUGCAAGCUCCCCUAAGCCUUUGCUAGGAAGAGAUGGGUUGGACAAGUUGAGGCAGAAAUGAACUUGGAAAAUGGGGAGAUUGAAAUUGUAGUUGCUGACACUAACUGUGUGAGAGCAGCAGCUCUUUUUGUGCAGGGAAUAACUCCCGUCAGCAGCACCGUCCCGACUGAAGCGGCAGAUGGAGUUGUUCCUGUGGUGAGGGCCAGUGGAAUUCCAGGAGAAUGGAAGAGGGCAGAGCCUGUAGAGCAAGGCAAGCCAAGAAACCUUUGCUUUUGAAGGAGAAACUCUGGAAAUUGGGAAGGAAGAAACAAAGCCACCUGAGCCCUCCCUGAGCCACAGGCAGUCCAUGAAGUGCCUUCCUGGGAACGGUAGGACAGUGAGGACUCUGGAUUGCUCCCUACGGGGGUGGUAAGACCGAUGCAAACUUUUGAAACCCCCUGUAAGAGUUUCCUGCCUUGGAUUGAUGGUGCAAGGGCGGCCUUUAGGCAGCCUUUUUUCCAGUUAGCCCUGGAAGGAGGACAGUGAUACCUUUUCAGUGCUAGUAGAUACUCUGAGUAGAUGGCCGUAAGUCUGUCCUUGUUGCACCAGGAGGCCUUAUCAAGCUCCCCUAUUACAGGAGCUAUUCCCAUGAAAGCAAAAACGAUCCUCAUAAUUCUUUGCUGCCUUUAGGAUCUGCCCUGCAGAAACUCCCGGAAUUGACGUUGACACCCCGGCCGAUGGAUUGGACGCCCCAACCCGUCCGUUCCUGCCCAGCCGUUGGGUCCCUGUCGGGCGGUGGGACUCCCAGCCUGUCCAGGGGGCUGUGGCGUCGAAAGUGCCCAGAGCUGAGCCAGGGGAUUGAAAGGGACUAACCCAGUGAGGUGAAGAAACAAGGAAGAAGGGAAGUGAGGCAGCAGCCAAGCAGCACCAAGUUCCUCUGUCAACAGGUGAGUUGUCUUGAGGUUCCUAAGGCAGACACUCGGGACUUUGGAUGCUCCAGACAGAGAAGACCUCGGAGGCCCCUGGAUGAAGCCCCUCAGAAUCUUUAUCAGGGGAAUAACUCCCGUCAGCAGCACCGUCCCGACUGAAGCGGCAGAUGGAGUUGUUCCUGUGGUGAGGGCCAGUGGAAUUCCAGGAGAAUGGAAGAGGGCAGAGCCUGUAGGAGCAAGGCAAGCCAAGAAACCUUUGCUUUUGAAGGAGAAACUCUGGAAAUUGGGAAGGAAGAAACAAAGCCACCUGAGCCCUCCCUGAGCCACAGGCAGUCCAUGAAGUGCCUUCCUGGGAACGGUAGGACAGUGAGGACUCCGGAUUGCUCCCUACGGGGGUGGAUCUGCCCUGCAGAAACUCCCGGAAUUGACGUUGACACCCCGGCCGAUGGAUUGGACGCCCCAACCCGUCCGUUCCUGCCCAGCCGUUGGGUCCCUGUCAGGCGGUGGGACUCCCAGCCUGUCCAGGGGGCUGUGGCGUCGAAAGUGCCCAGAGCUGAGCCAGGGGAUUGAAAGGGACUAACCCAGUGAGGUGAAGAAACAAGGAAGAAGGGAAGUGAGGCAGCAGCCAAGCAGCACCAAGUUCCUCUGUCAACAGCAGCUCUUCUUGUGCAGGAAAUAACUCCCGUCAGCAGCACCAUCCCGACUGAAGCGGCAGAUGGAGUUGUUCCUGUGGUGAGGGCCAGUGGAAUUCCAGGAGAAUGGAAGAGGGCAGAGCCUGUAGGAGCAAGGCAAGCCAAGAAACCUUUGCUUUUGAAGGAGAAACUCUGGAAAUUGGGAAGGAAGAAAUGAAGCCACCUGAGCCCUUCCUGAGCAACAGGCAGUCCAUGAAGUGCCUUCCUGGGAACGGUAGGACAGUGAGGACUCCGGAUUGCACGCUACGGGGGUGUGGAUCUGCCCUGCAGAAACUCCCGGAAUUGACGUUGACACCCCGGCCGAUGGAUUGGACGCCCCAGCCCGUCCGUUCCUGCCCAGCCGCUGGGUCCCUGUCAGGCGGUGGGACUCCCAGCCUGUCCAGGGGGCUGUGGCGUGGAAACUGCCCAGAGCUGAGCCAGAGGAUUGAAAGGGACUAACCCAGUGAGGUGAAGAAACAAGGAAGAAGGGAAAUGAGGCAGCAGCCAAGCAGCACUGAGUUCCACUGUCAGCAGGAGCGCUGCGCUGAAAUUCCCAGUCCGCCUGCAAAAAUUGAAGACAAAGAAAGAUUCCUCCCAGACAGAAGGUGGCCAGGCCAAAAGCUCCUUCUACCCGUGGAGUGCCCAGGCCGACCUACAACCCAGACCUUCAAGCCAAGGGUAAGCACUUGCUUUUCUGGGAGAAAGGCCUGUCGUUCGCUUGCAGGAAUGCUGCACUGAUGUUGCUACUCUGACUUCCAAAUGGAAUAAGAAGAAAGAUUCCUGCCAGACAAGAGGUGCCAUCACAGAAAGCUCCUGCUGCCCAUGGAGCGCCCAGGCUGCCCUACCAACUGCACUCUGGACCCUGAGGUCCUUUCUCGAGAGAAGUUAUUGGAACCGCUCCCAGAGAUUGGCACCACUCCCAGAAUUUGUCGAAACCUUCCCAGACUUUUGGAAAUAAUCCCAGAGUAGUUAAAACACUACAACAGACAAGCGAUACGACAGACAAGCGAUACGACAGACAAGCGAUACGACAGACAAGCGAUACGACAGACAAGCGAUACGACAGACAAGCGAUACGACAGACAAUUUUUGCCGGCAAACUUAUCCGAAUUUUAACCCGUUCUCCGUUCUCUGGUGGGACUCUAACCCACGAUUACCUGGAAGUCCACCCCAAGGCCGGGCCUCUAACCCGAAUUUUUGGGACUAUAACCCGAAGUGGGACUCU